GACGUAGGGCGCAAGCGUUGUCCGGAUUUAUUGGGCGUAAAGAGCUCGUAGGCGGCUUGUCGCGUCGGAUGUGAAAGCCCGGGGCUUAACUCCGGGUCUGCAUUCGAUACGGGCAGGCUAGAGUUCGGUAGGGGAGAUCGGAAUUCCUGGUGUAGCGGUGAAAUGCGCAGAUAUCAGGAGGAACACCGGUGGCGAAGGCGGAUCUCUGGGCCGAUACUGACGCUGAGGAGCGAAAGCGUGGGGAGCGAACAGG
rnacentral:rRNA from 1 species